CUGGUGUGCUAGGUACAUUGUUCUGGGAUUUGACUAAUAAUUAAUAAGCAGGGCACAACUAGGCAAUUGUGAAGGAAUGAAGUUCCUCAGCUCGCAGCUUGUAAGGGCCUGGCUCCCAGGGAACUAAGGGAGUCCUGGGCUCUCGGGGAGAGCUCCUUUCCCUGAGCAAAGCUCCUUUGUUCCAGGUGGUUUGGUGUGCUGGGCACAACCACACCCUCCCUGCGCCUCUUAUGGCUUCCAGGACUCCCACCAUUCAGGACUCAUUUUUUGGCUCUAGCACAAUUGUUUUGAACUGAAGGAAUCAGAGACUUAGGGCAACUUCUUGAAGUUUCUACCCAGUUGGCAAAGAAAUCUUCUCAAUCCCCUACUUUCCCUAAACUAAGAGGACCAGAAAGUCUGCAGGCCCCAUGAUAUUCUACAUCUGCUGACACCAGGGAAACUCCACUACAAGGGAGUUGCAGUCUGUCACUCAACUUGCUGAGGACCAACUCUCGGGGGCACAGUCCCUACCUGCAAGCUGCUUGGAUCUCUUUGACAGAAUUGUCACAGCCAGACAACUGUUGGAGCAAAGAGGAUUCACAUCUCAUGAUAAUUUCCAUGGCUGCAGUGUUAUGCUGAGAAGGAUGUUGAGGGCCCAUCUUGUCUUGGCAGGAAGAGCGUUGUCUGGGGAGAAUGUGAUAAAGAGGUGUGUAGGUUUUGAGGUCUAUAGAAAGGGACUGUGAAGGUCUGCCUGGGGACAGCACACAUACCCAUAUUUACCACUGCUGACCUUGGUCACUCUCUUCAUUUUAUCAAGGAGUAACUGAAGAUAAUUGGAGACUAACGUGAUUUCCUCACUGCCAUAAUUAGUGGCAGAGGUGGGACUGGAACACAGGCAAGAAACGUCCCAAGUCACAGGUUCACCUUGUGUCAUCUUUGCUUUUCCUUCUCUAAAAUGAGGACCCCUCCCACCUCACCCAGGGUGGGAAAGGCCAGUUCAUCCCAGAGAGCUGCUAGGAGAGGGCAAGACAACUUGGAGUGGCUCCGAGGGGCAGCUUUCCUCCCGGACUCUCUGGACGGAGAGAAAACCCCAGUCUUUUGUGUGAUUCCUGGGGGGUGUGCCUGCAGCUUUCACCUUCAGAGGCAACAAUGAGAAAACCAGGGUAGCAGGGCUUGGCCCUAAACUCCACAGCGUAGUCUAAAGGCCAGAUGGAAGGUAAUGUACGAGUUAUAGGAUGUGGAAUCCGCUUAAGCUUGAGCCCUGUGAUCUAAGGGUAGUCCCCUCUGAGCUGGUUUCAGCAGACACCUUUCUCACAGGAUUACAUAUGAGUGCACAGUAGGCAGUCAACAAAUAUGGACUGAUCACACACACCAUGUUUUCUCUUCCCUCGGGGUCUUUGCACAUGCAGGUUCCUCUGCUUGGGACAUUUCUCCACUUUCUCUCCUCAUACACUGCUCACCGGAUCUCUGGAGCACUCAGUUUACACCGUGUCUUCAGAGAACACUCUGACUAACCCGAGGGGGUUAGGUACCCCCCUUCUGGGUGUCCACAGCACUCUGAACAUAUCCCAUCACAGCAUUUACCCCACUGGACUAUGGCGGCCUUUCUCCUGGAUUAGGCUGUGAGGCUCUGAGGGCAACGACCACAACAGAUUCAACUCUGUACCCUCAGUGCCUUGCACUCAGUAAACUCUCAAAGAAUACAUGCUGGCCAACUUACUAUAUCAAUGCCUUCUGUUCCCACUCCAUUCAUGACCACAAUAAAGAGCUCUAAACAGAGCACCAAACCC
rnacentral:lncRNA from 1 species